UACGUAGGUGGCAAGCGUUGUCCGGAUUUACUGGGCGUAAAGAGCGCGCAGGCGGUCGUUCAAGUCGCGUGUGAAAGCCCCCGGCUCAACUGGGGAGGGUCACGCGAUACUGAUCGACUCGAAGGCAGGAGAGGGAAGCGGAAUUCCCGGUGUAGUGGUGAAAUUCGUAGAUAUCGGGAGGAACACCAGUGGCGAAGGCGGAGACCUGGGGAGAUAUUGACGCUGAGGUGCGAAAGCGUGGGGAGCAAACAGG
rnacentral:rRNA from 1 species